rnacentral:rRNA from 1 species
UACAGAGGUCUCGAGCGUUGUUCGGAUUCAUUGGGCGUAAAGGGUGCGUAGGUGGCGCUGUAAGUCGGGUGUGAAAUCCUGAGGCUUAACCUCGGAACUGCAUUCGAUACUGCGGCGCUUGAGGACUGGAGAGGAGACUGGAAUUCAUGGUGUAGCAGUGAAAUGCGUAGAGAUCGUAAGGAAGACCAGUGGCGAAGGCGGGUCUCUGGACAGUUCCUGACGCUGAGGCACGAAGGUCAGGGGAGCAAACGGG